rnacentral:rRNA from 1 species
UACAGAGGUCCCAAGCGUUGUUCGGAUUCACUGGGCGUAAAGGGUGCGUAGGUGGUGGGGUAAGUCGGAUGUGAAAGCUCGGAGCUCAACUCCGAAAUGGCAUUGGAAACUACCCUGCUAGAGGAUUGGAGGGGGGGACUGGAAUACUUGGUGUAGCAGUGAAAUGCGUAGAUAUCAAGUGGAACACCAGUGGCGAAGGCGGCGCGCUGGACCACUACUGACGCUGAGGAACGAAAGCUAGGGGAGCAAACAGG